GGUCUUCCAAGGCAGCAAUCAUGGUGUCUCAUCUGAAGUCCUGGGUGCCCUCCGAAGAUCACAGGAUUGUUGGCAUUUUUCACUUCCUUUAGUUGUAGAAUCGAGAACAGAAUAAUGGGUUGUAGAGGCAGGUAUUUAGGAUAGGAGAGUAUAUGGGUUUGGCGCCACGGGGUGCAUAGGCAAAACAAUUUGGUUGAUAAGGUGCAGAUCCUGAAAUAACUUGUAAGGCUUGUCUGGUUUUAGGACAGGUAAAAU
rnacentral:lncRNA from 10 species